GCCGGGUGUGGUGGUGCAUGCCUGUAAUCCCAGCAUUUUGGGAGGCUGAGGUGGGUGGAUCACCUGAGGUCAGGAGUUUGAAACCAGCCUGACUAACAUGGUGAAACCCCGUCUCUG
rnacentral:SRP_RNA from 1 species